rnacentral:lncRNA from 1 species
GCCCUGCUGAACAAUGUAAAGCAGUCGAUGAAACACCUGCAGGGUCAGCUGAAUGACAUACAUGGAAAGUUUAUUGAGUUGCAGACUGCUAUCUCUCAGAUAGUGUCAGAUGAGUCUAAGAUACUGUAGAAUAACUCUAUGUUAUGGUGAGGAUGAUGAUUGAAAUGUUUGGGAUGGAUUGGUGUGAAUUACAUUAGAUUGCAAGUGGUAGAUUUUUCUUGAAUGACUGUAUGUGCUCUAUACUUCAUCCCAGAAGCCAACAUUGCUGCACAGACGGAGGUAAUCUCAACAUCCAAUCACAACAUCCCAACAAGCAGCAUUUCUGAACAGAGGGAAGAGAUCCUACCGAAAGCCGGUGUCCCUGUGAAGAAUAGAGACAAUCCUCCACAACCACCUCCCAUCAUCCCCAUGGUGGGACGAAAGUGGGAAUGGGAUGCUGGAGUGUGUACUAUUCCAAGAGAAGAGAUGUCCUGAGUAGACAUGUUGUGCAUCCUGCUAUGAUGUCCAUCACCAAGCCAGAACACUCCGAGGCCAACCCUCGAAGCCAGACUGGCAGCCGGGCCAGUGGCUGAGCCUGAGACCCCUGCGGCAAAGAACACACCAAACAAUGGUGGCUGGCUCAGCUGGUUCUCUGGAGGGGAAAAGAGGUUCAUCCGAAGGAGGCUCAUCUACCCGAGGACAAAGACAAAUCGAUUAUCUGGGAUCCAACCCUGCACAGAUGGGUUGACAAAAUUGAGCCCAAUGCUGAGAACAAGCCAGUACCACCACCUCCCCCGAUGGGAAUGAAUGGACAUCUGGGGAACUCUGGCAGUCUCCCCAAAGGAGUGAAUCCUUAGUCCAUGAAAGCAGCCUCCAAGCCAGGGACUUGGACUGCGUCCUCCCUCACACUCUACCCUCAUUGCACCUAUGGCGUUGCCAUUUGAGUCUGCUCAAGAUAGCUGGAAGAAUCUUGCCCCUGGUAUUCUAUCCUAUAGAGGCAAUUUUCCCAGAGUGGAUUUCUUUAUAAGGGGAUUUUUCUGCAUUUUCAAAGAAUAAGAAAAAUAUUUAGCAAAGAAAAAUAUUAUUUGGCGAUUGCCAAAUUAGUUCUUAGUUAAAAGACUCAAGCAUUUCCCUCUCUCUGUCAUUUCGUCAUGUUCACAUAGCUUUGAUAUGUUCAUCACUUACAAGCCCAUUGAUAAUGAAAUUAAUCAUCUGUGUAGCUCCAGU